rnacentral:rRNA from 1 species
CCUACGGGAGGCAGCAGUGAGGAAUAUUGGACAAUGAGCGCAAGCUUGAUCCAGCAAUACUACGUGAGUGAAGAAGGUUAUGUCGAGUGUAAAGCUCUAUAUUUGAAGAGGAUGAUGACUGUAUUCAAAGAAAAAGUCCCGACUAACUUCGUGCCAGCAGUCGCGGUAAUACGAAGGGGACGGGCGUUACUCAGCAUGAUUGGGCGUAAAGGGUGAGUAGGCGGUUUUUUAAGUUAAGAUCAAAAUCCAAAAGCAUAACUUUUGAAAAGGUUUUAAUACUGUAAAGCUAGAGUAUAAAUAAGGAAAGUAGUAUUUUUAAUGUAAAGGUUAAAUUUUGAAAUAUUAAAAAGACUAUCAAUAGGCGAAGGCGACUUUCUGGUUUAUUCUGACGCUGAGGCACAAAAGCAUGGGGAGCAAACAGGAUUAGAUACCCCAGUAGUCC